GCCAUACCCGUGGCAUAUGGAGGCUCCCAGGCUAGGGUCUAAUCAGAGCUGUAGCCGCUGGCCUAUGCCAUAGCCACAGCAACGCAGGAUCCUUAACUCACUGAGUGAGGCCAGGAAGCGAACCUGCAACCUCAUGGUUCCUAGUCAGAUUCGUUAACCACUGAGCCAUGCUGGAAACUCCUAAAAUAAAUACUUUUAAUAUUUAAGUCUAAUGCUUAUUUUGGCAUUUUCUUUUUGGUAAAUUUUAUAUUCAAUUUUAUCUAGAUGAAAGUCACUUCAAUUUUUUUGGAAGACUCAAGAGUAGUUUUUCUAUUUGAGGGUCUACUUUAUUAUUUAAAGUAAUACAGAAGAAUGCCAUCCAAGGAUGAAUAAAGCAGUUACAUGAAAUCAUCAGGAAAGCAGCUCUUUAAUAUUGCUCGGAUAGUAAUGGAGUAGGAUAGUUACACAGGUCGUUGUAGAAAUCCCCUUAAGGGACCGUAAGAUAGAGAGGGAAACCUAGGGAACUUUGGGAGACCACUGUAAGGUAAUAAUUGCUCAAGAAAGCCAUCAGAAUGAGGCGGGCUGGCUUGACUACUGGAGGUGCAAGAUAUGCCUCAGGUCACUGGGUGGGGGAUGGGGUGAGGCCUGCAUUCAGGUUCAGACUAAGGGCAGAAGUUUAAGGACCACCCUUCUGCUGAUUUGAAUAAGCACCAUGAUAGUCCUAGUUUGACCUUAUAGGGUCAAAUACUCUCUCCUAUGAUACUAAGGAGGAAAUAGAAGAAAGAGGAAGAGGUGUUCUUUUCCCACUCCCACCCCACCUUGGAUUAUAAAACUGUAGCCCACAUAAUCCUUGGGGCAGAGCCUCUUUGCCUGCUUGUUUGCAUCUCUUAUAAGCAUCCUAUCCUCAUAAAUCUAUUUCUUGCCUAUCACUUUAGCUUAAUUCCUUCUGCGCUGAGGCACAAAGAACCUUAACCUCAUAAGUCCAGAUACUGGGUGAAUGAUUCUAAUUUAAAAAGUGUGGGUUCAAGUCCCAGUCUGGGUUCUGGCUAGAUUCAGGCCGUUAGUGCUAUCAAUUUCAGCUCCUCUACCAUUCUUCAUGUGCAAUGUCCUUUUAAGUUCAUUGCAUGGCUCUAAAUGGCUGCUGGGUCUCCAGUCAUUACAGAGACAAUUCAAGGAUCGGAAGGAGGAAGCUGGUAAAGAAAGGAAAAGGAAACGGAAUCAGUUCCUAGUAAGAGGCCUUCUCAGAACUGUCCCCCAAAGUUGCCCUUGUGUUUCAUGGACUGGUGGCUACAAGUGAAGUUAAGAAAUGUCAUUGAUAUUGUCCCCAAAUUGAGAUUAUUUAACUAAGAAAGAAGGGGAAAAUGGAGAGUAAAAAGGCAAACUGUGGUCUCUGCCCUUAUCACGUUAAGAAAGGUCCAACCUAUCUGUUUGCUAAUUUUUUAAAAAUCAUGAAUAUACAUUGACUUUUGCUGAGUGUUUUUAUACAUCUAUUCAAAGGACCACAUUUUCCCCUUUACUCCGUUAAUAUUGUGAAAUACAUUAAUUUAAAUGUGGUUUAUACACCCAGGAUAAAUUUAACUUGGUCAUGAUUUAUCUUUGCUGUACAUUGUUGGAACUGACUUGCUAAUAUUUCAGUUAGGAUUUUUUCAUACAUAUUAAUGAAGAAAUCAAUUUACAUGUUUUCUUUUUCAUUAUGUCCUUACUGAUUUAUGUGUCAAGGUUACCUGUCUCAUAAAAUUAAGAAGGAGUUAUCUAUUGUAUAAGAUUGCAGCUAGCUGUACCUUGAAGUUUCAUAAAAUUUUCUAGGAAAAUUAGUUUUGUCCUAAGAUUUCCUUCGUAAGAAGGUGGUUAAUGAUGAUUAUUAUUUUUAAUUUUUUGAAAUUACUAAUUUUUAAUUUGUUUUUUAGCCCUUUCAUUUAAAAAGGACACUUGUCACAUCUUUCUGUUUUUCUAAAAUAUUAUAAGUGGUUUGCUUUCAAAGAUCAUAAAAUACAGUGUACUUCUCAAAACUCAUCUUUUAGGGCUCUAGUAGUUGGUCUUUUCUUCCUAGAGAGAAAAGUUUUAAAACUUUUAGUAGGAUAAGGGCCUACUUAAUCCCAGGAUGGUGGUGAACAGAGCUGAACCUAUACAAAGAGCUCUACCCUGCUUGGCAGAUGAAACUUGAAAUAAGUGCAUCCUUGAGCCUUGUCUAUCUCUAGGGUACCUGGUUCAUGGGUUCAGUGACCUGCAGAUCACUCCUUCCUGGCUUGUAAUCCAGCUCUAUGACUGACUUCUACCCAAUUGCCUACUCGAGUCUCACUACUGAGAACUGAGCAUCUCAUCCACUUUGUAAAUGAUGUUUUCUCUUCCUAGAAUAUGUUCUAUCCACCUAACUUCCAGACCAACCACCUGGACAACUUAAAUUCUUUUCUACUCUUUCUUCUAACAACAGCAGCUCAUGGGGAGUCUUCCAGGGUAUAAAACACAGUUGGCAUCUCUGUCUUCCAUUUUAUCACUAUACUUACCAUUUAUCCCCCUCACUCCACCUAUCACACUUGGUAUUUUUAAAGCUUUUUAUUGAGCUAUAUCAGAAAUGUAAACAUCAGUCAUAUAUAGAUCUGUAAAUUUUCACAAAUUGUACAUAUGUUGCAUUUUCUAUUUUUGUAUCUUGGUCUCCCCUAUUCGACUGUGAGGUGAUUAGUGGCCCUCUUUAACACUUCUAAGACCUAUUAAGGUGUCUAGAACAAAUAGUCACUAAUAAGCAAAUAACAGGGAGUUCCCGCUGUGAUGCAGUGGGUUAAGAAUCUGACUGCAGUGGCUCAGGUUGUUUUGGAGCCUCAGGUUCAAUCCCCCACCCCAGCCAGGGAACUUCCCUUACUGCAGAUGCAGCCAUAAAAUUCUUUUUUUUUUUUUUUAAGCAAAUAACAGUUUUCUGUUUUCUUUCUUUUUGUCUAUCACUUAUUUACUAUUUAUUAAUUCCUUUCAUCAUGUGAAGUUGCUACUAUUAUCACUAUUUUGCUGAUGUGAAAAUGGUUUACAUUUCUUGUUUAAAGUAAGAUAUUUCUUGCUUUAAGGUAGAAACUGAACUAUUAGCCCCCAUACUUCUUCCCUUCCUAUAAUGGUCCCUGCUGCCAUAUACUUUUACAGUUUCCCACACCACCAUGAAAGAAGUCUUCUUCUCUAAUCCAUGACUCUGGACUCGCCAGUGAAUCUUGCUUUACCCAAGUGGACAUUAGCAGAUGUGAUGCAGAAGCUUAAAAUAUACUUCUAUAGUUGGUCAAGCACUCCUUUGUCUAUGUCACUGUUAGGAAAAUAGCUUUCACUUUGCGGCUGCUUCUCCCUCAGGCUGAGCCCUAAAUACUCAAUAGAACCUAUGCCAAUCACCCAGCCUGGGCCGCAGAGAGCUGGAACCUGAGCUCAGCAGGGGUGCCCUAAUCAACCCAAAGUUUGAGACAGUCGCUUGCCACCGAGACUGUAUUUCUUUGUUACAUAGCACUAGCAUGCUAAUUUAGCCAGUGCUAAAAACAGAUUUUACUGACUUUCAAACGUGGUACCAUUCUCCUCUAUCUAUGAUGCAUUUCCUAAUCUUCAAUCCAGAGUUUAGGAUUUUUGUCCUAGCGUGUUCCUGCUUCAAUACAUAUUUUUUACAAAACACACAAAAAGUAUUUACUCCCCAUUGGAUCCUGUGUGGUCAAUCACCCUCUCCUAGGGGUGACUUCUUGUGACGUCCAUUCAUUAAAUGGAUGGUUAGUGAUGACUGGAUUUAAGUGUGUUCUGCUCUGUCAAAGGAUGUAAUUUACUUUGCUAGUCACCCUUUGGUUGGAACCAGCCCUCUAGCUACCUGAUGUAUUACCAUUUAAAGCUCAUUCCUAUUCCAAUUUACCUCUCUCUCCCCUUGACUUCAUUGACUCACUGUGCCUGGAGAGGUGUUUAACUUGGACAGGUUAUGACAGCUCUUAACAGAAGUUAGUCAGUGGGAUUUCCAUGUAGUUCACUGAAGGGUCAAGAAGUGGGAAUUAAUUAUCAAAAGGGGACAGUGCUUUGGGAAGAUGGGCUUUCCUCUAUUCUGAGUCACUAGACUGGUCUUGUGGACUCUUGCCUGAGGAGAAAGAAAAUGACCUCUCCACAGCAAACUAUCCACAUCUGUAUUCUUCUAACAUGGUCCAGUAACUGGUUCUAUAAUCAAUAUAUAACCUAUAAAUGGGGGUUAAUUCACAUGCAAUUAAUUUAUAGCCAGCCCUCACUAUCUGAGGUUCCUCUUCAUCUUCAAGUUUAGCUCACCACAGACUGGGUAGCACUGUCAUAUUUAACAUUGGAAGAUAUCUAUCUGUAUAUAAGAAAGUGUCCACAGUUCAAACGCAUAUUCGUCAGGGGUAAAUUGCAGUAGUCCAGAAACAGGAGAAUGCAGGCCAAGUGCUCAGCUGUAUAAUUCUUACUCUGCAAACAAUGUUCCAGGGGAUGCUGAUGCUGCUGGCCCAAGCACUGCACUUUGAGCAUCAUGCUUAUGUUCAUGAUGCCCUAACAUCACUGGCCUAUAGAUGUUCCCUUUACUGUCUUGUUUUUUUAUUUCCUUUUGUCCUCAUUAUCUAUUCCCAUUUCCCUCACAUAGGCCAUUGUCUUAGGUCAGGUGAAACUGACUUUGAGACAGGAAGCUGCAUGAUUUUUUUUUUGGGGGGGGAGGGCUAUAGAUCUCAGGAAAUACCUCAGUUAGGAAAGAGGUAGGGGAUGGCAAGAUGAGCUGACCACUCUAAAUUUCCACUGAGGCUUUAGCCAAUGCUAUGAGGUUGCUUCAGAACUGAGAUGGUCCUUCAGAGUCAUCCCCAGUUGAGACAAAAGUUGGACUUUGUAUUUCCCAUCAGUCGGUCUCUGACUUUAAGCAGUCACUGGGAGGGUUAUGGGUGAGAGAGUUCUCUGCUGCCAGAGAGUGUCCAGGUGGAAUUGCUGUCAGCAGCAGAAACUCUCAGAAGCUGAAGAAUAGAAGCUUUCUAUCCAAAGAAAGAUAAGCCUCUGUAUGCUGACCUCUAAGGUUAUUUAUGAUGUACUGUCCAGUGAGAACAACAAGUUUUGGAGACAUGUAUGCACAUGUAUGUAGUAUCAUCCCAUUUUAAGAAAACAAGCAUCUCUGUUAUUUUUAUAAAUUCUUAUAUGUUUGAGUUUGAAAGAGCUAUGGAAGGGUAAGUACUGGGCUCUUUACACAGAUUUCUUUGAGGGGAUGGAAGUGUGAAAGAGAAGGGCAUAUAGUGAGAUUAUUCACUUCUUUUACUCUAUUUUUAUUUUUUACUGAAAUACAGUAGACAUACAACAUUAUGUUAUUUCAAAGUGUGCUGCAUAGUGAUUUGGUAUUUUAAUAUAUUAGGAAAUGAUCAACAUGAUAAAUCUUUCCCUGUACAAAGUUAUUAUAAUUGACUAUAUUUCUUAUGCUGCAUAUUACAUCCCUGUGGCUUAUUUAUUUUAUAGGUGGAGAUUUGUGCUUUUUAAUCCUCUUCACCUCUCCCCUCCCACCAUCAUCUCUGUACAUUUGAGUCUGUUUUUAUUUUAUUUUGUUUUGUUUUUUGUUUUUUUGGAUUCCCCAUGUAAGGGAUCAUAUGGUAUUUGUUUUUCUCUGUCUGACUUAUUUCACUUAGUGUAAUAUCCUCUAUGUUGUCCAUUUAUGUUGUCACAAAUGGCAAAAAUUCUUUUUUUAUGGUUGAGUAGUAUUCAUCUUCUUUAUCCAUUCAUUUGUUGAUGGACAUUUAGGUUGUUUCCAUGUCUUGGCUGUUGUGAAUAGUACUGCAGUGAACCUUGCAGUGCAUAUUUUCUCUUCUGGUAUUGUUUGUUGUUGUCGUUUUUUUUUUUUCCCCCUUGGGCAAAUAUCCAGAAGUGAAAUUGCUAGAUCAUAUGAUAGUUCUAUUUUUAGCAUAUUUUCCUAUAGUAGCUGCACCAAUUUACAUUUCACCAACAGCAUAGGGCAGAAGGGUUCCUUUUUUUCCACAUCCUCACCAAAACUUGUUAUUUGUUAUCUUUCUGCUAAUAGCCAAUAGGUAUGAGUAGUAUUUCAUUGUGAUUUUAAUAUGCAUUUCUACCCAGGCGAGAGGUAGAAUCAGAGCCGCAGCUGCAGGCCUAGGCCACAGCCACAGCAACACCGGAUCUGAGCCGCAUCUGUGUGAUCCUUGCCAUGGCUUGUCGCAAUGCUGGAUCCUUAACCCACUGAGUGAGGCCAAGGAUUGAACCCGUGUCCUCACAGAUAUCAGUCGGGUUCUUAAUCUGCUGAGCCACAAUAGGAACAUU
rnacentral:lncRNA from 1 species